rnacentral:rRNA from 1 species
UAAGCAUAUCAAUAAGCGGAGGAAAAGAAACUAACAAGGAUUCCCCUAGUAACUGCGAGUGAAGCGGGAAAAGCUCAAAUUUAAAAUCUGGCGGUCUUUGGCCGUCCGAGUUGUAGUCUGGAGAAGUGCUUUCCGCGCUGGACCGUGUACAAGUCUCUUGGAACAGAGCGUCAUAGAGGGUGAGAAUCCCGUCUUUGAUACGGACUACCGGUGCUUUGUGAUGCGCUCUCAAAGAGUCGAGUUGUUUGGGAAUGCAGCUCAAAAUGGGUGGUAAAUUCCAUCUAAAGCUAAAUAUUGGCGAGAGACCGAUAGCGAACAAGUACCGUGAGGGAAAGAUGAAAAGCACUUUGGAAAGAGAGUUAAACAGUACGUGAAAUUGCUGAAAGGGAAACGCUUGAAGUCAGUCGCGUUGGCCAGGACUCAGCCUUGCUUUUGCUUGGUGCAUUUUCUGGUUGACGGGCCAGCAUCGAUUUUGACCGCUGGAAAAAGGCUGGAGGAAUGUGGCACCCUCGGGUGUGUUAUAGCCUUCAGUCACAUACGGCGGUUGGGAUCGAGGAUCGCAGCACGCCUUUAUGGCCGGGGUUCGCCCACGUUCGUGCUUAGGAUGCUGGCGUAAUGGCUUUAAACGACCCGUCUUGAAACACGGACCAAGGAGUCUAACAUGCCUGCGAGUGUUUGGGUGGAAAACCCGAGUGCGUAAUGAAAGUGAAAGUUGAGAUCCUUGUCGCGGGGAGCAUCGACGCCCGGACCUGAACUUUGGUGAUGGAUCUGCGGUAGAGCAUGUAUGUUGGGACCCGAAAGAUGGUGAACUAUGCCUGAAUAGGGUGAAGCCAGAGGAAACUCUGGUGGAGGCUCGUAGCGAUUCUGACGUGCAAAUCGAUCGUCAAAUUUGGGUAUAGGGGCGAAAGACUAAUCGAACCAUCUAGUAGCUGGUUCCUGCC